rnacentral:tRNA from 1 species
GAGGGGGCGGCACGACCAAUAAGAACUGCUAACUCUUAUACCUGAGCUUAAAAUCUCAGCCCCCUUG